GGAGUUGUGGCUCAGUGGUAGAGCAUUUGCCUAGCACGAGCAAGGCCCUGGGUUCAAUCCUCAGCACCA
rnacentral:tRNA from 1 species